rnacentral:rRNA from 1 species
AUGGGCCCUCAACACCCAUCAAUGCAUGGUGUUCUUGGACUGAUCGUUACUCUCGAUGGUGAGGAUGUUAUUGAUUGUGAACCCAUAUUAGGCUAUUUACACAGAGGAAUGGAAAAAUCACAGAAAACCGAACUAUUAUACAAUACUUAUCUUAUGUAA